rnacentral:rRNA from 1 species
GACGAACGCUGGCGGCGUGCUUAACACAUGCAAGUCGAACGGAAAGGCCUGCUUUCCCUUGUGGAUUGCGGGUACUCGAGUGGCGAACGGGUGAGUAACACGUGAGUGAUCUGCCCCCAACUUGGGUAUAAGCCUGGGAAACUGGGUCUAAUUCCCGAUAGGACUGCAGGGUGGUGCCUGUGGUGGAAAACGAUUUUCUAGUGGUUGGAGAUGAGCUCGCGGCCUAUCAGCUUGUUGGUGGGGUAAUGGCCUACCAAGGCGGCGACGGGUAGCCGGCCUGAGAGGGUGGACGGCCACAUUUGGACUGAGAUACGGCCCAGACUCCUACGGGAGGCAGCAGUGGGGAAUAUUGCACAAUGGGCGGAAGCCUGAUGCAGCGACGCCGCGUGGGGGAUGACGGCCUUCGGGUUGUAAACUCCUUUCGACCGCGAGGAAGCCACCUGGUUGGAAGGGUGGUGACGGUAGUGGUAGAAGAAGCACCGGCUAACUACGUG